CACUUGGAGGAUGUAUAGCGAAAGCUAGUUGUAUUAACUUCGACUAGUUCGAGGUUAAUGCAGCAUCGACCAUGUCGAAUAAAGUUCUAGGUAGAGUUAUGAUAAUGACAUUUUCUAUCUAUGUGUCUUGACCAAGUCACGUGCCAGCAGUCGCGGUAAUACGUGGAAGACUAGUGUUAUUCAUCUUUAAUAGGUUUAAAGGGUACUUAGACGGUAAAUUUAGCCCAAAUAAAAACAAAGGGUACUAAUAAUACUAGAGUUUAAUGAGAGGGGGUGCGUACCAAUGGUGUAGAGAUGAAAUUCUGUCAUACCAUUAUGACGGGCAACGGCGAAAGCAACCCUUUAUGUAAAAACUGACGUUAAAGGACGAAGGCUUUGUGUCACCAACAGGAUUAGAUACCCAAGCAGUCUUAGCAGACAAUUCUGAAUGCCAUAGAUACGGAAAAAUAAAAAUAUUACCUUUUUAUUCUAAAAAUAAAAAAAAGGUAAAUAUUACCUUUUUAUUCAAUCUCUUUUUUUGUGAAGAUAAGAUAAGAAAAUAAUAAUAAAGGAUAUUCUUUGUCUAUAAAUGAAAGUGUAAGCAUUCCACCUCAAGAGUAAUGUGGCAACGCAGAAACUGAAAUCAUUAGACCGUUUCUGAAACCAGUAGUGAAGUAUGUUGUUUAAUUUGAUGGUCCGCACAAAACCUUACCACAAUUUGUAUAUUAUUAGCUUAGUACAAGAGUUGCACGGCUGUCUUCAGUUAAUGUCGUGAGAUUUGGUUAGUUCCAUAAAAAUUAACGUAAACCCUUACUUUAUUUAUAUUAUAAAGUAGUUCACCGCUAUAUUGGAUAUGAUAAAAGGGACUAAGACAAGUCAUCAUGGCCUGAAUAUUGUGG
rnacentral:rRNA from 1 species